rnacentral:misc_RNA from 1 species
GUAGGUGAACCUGCGGAAGGAUCAUUAUUGAAAUAAAUCUGAUGAGUUGCUGCUGGUUCUUCAGAGAGCAUGUGCACACUUGUCAUCUUUAUAUCUCCACCUGUGCACCUUUUGUAGACCUGGAUAUCUCUCUGAAUGCUAGCCACUCAGGUUUGAGGAUUGACCUUUAUGAUCUCUCCUUACAUUUCCGGCCUAUGUUUCUUCAUAUACCCUAAUGUAUGUCAUAGAAUGUAAUUAAAGGCCUUUGCGCCUAUAAAAGUAUACAACUUUCAGCAACGGAUCUCUUGGCUCUC